rnacentral:lncRNA from 1 species
AGCUCAUCCAUGCUUGUCCGAUGCUCAAUAUUUCAACGGCUGAGGAAUCUGUCACGUUUAUCCGAUAUAGUACGCGCAUCGGUAAGGAUAUUACGAUAUAUCGAAAAAUCUCACACAGAUGUAACUGGUAAUUUAUACUUUUUAUAAAUUGUUACGCUUUUUUUAUUGUUUGUGAUUCUGAAUUUUGUCAGUUAAAAGGAUAUAACAGACUGCACGGUUUAUUAUCUGUUUAAUAAAUGAAUAAUAAAAGAAAUAUUACAGUCGACUAGAGAGAAAGAAAAGAUUCAAGUAGUGAGAGAGAAAAAUGUCGCGACAUCAUUAAUUUUAGUCUCUGUCAUGUGUCUCACAAUUCGUGCCUCACAGAAAAUAAGAAAAGGAGAAAUCUAUUUUAUUCUUUAUUCUCUGCAAUAUCGUUCACUUUCUAAUUUCAAUGUCGCGUUAUAAAUUUGGAGCGUUUGACGAAGGGGAGGGUAACUGACGUGGCGCAAUGCGGAUGCUGGAUAAAUAUACUCGCAUUUCGCGGCUUAUAUGAGCGCGCAUUGAAAUUUACAUCGCGGAUUAAGUGCGAGGCAGGGGAUGAACGCAAAGUGUUAGCGUAACGCAUAACGAGAUUCACAACUGCGAGGCACGAGGCGAGCCUAAUCCUCGAUUAUAGCAUGCGACCCCUUUAUUAAUACGGCCGCUUUAUUAAUACGGCCGGUUAUAGCAAUCGAAUAACAGAGCGCUAUAAAUAAGCCAAUACAGCGCGUGAUUUUUAUUGCCGUAUAAAUUAUCUUUCAGCACGCGCGCGUCGAAGACAAAACGAUUCGGAAUAUUGAUUUAUAUACAUACGAAAUGCGCGUUAUAAUAUGUACAUGACGUACAUAACGACUACAUGAUUACGCGAAUGUAGACGUCAUUUCAUGUAAUCACGAAUGCGUCAUAAAACAUAAAUUUAUAUCCGAUCACUCAAAAUAAAAAAUUGCUCCACCACUCGCUCUAAUUAACGAGGUAAUAUUUUUGUAUUAAUUAGUUUUAUUUUAACAUUUUAAUAUUUUUUCAACUAGUUUUAUUUCUGUAGUCUAGAGACUCGGGGAAGCGCAGGUGCGUUUCGGUGUCCGCUAAUUGCAUCCCCUAACAAAGCGCGCUAAGAGGCCGAGCGAUAUUCCAUUAUCAGUUGUGUACACACGUUGAUUAGAAGGAGCUCAAACCUGCUCUGCGGGUGGUCUUUGGCGAUAAUCUCAAUCUGAGAUCUCGGAGAUAUAAGCGUGCACGAUUAGGUAAGAGCGCAUAACGGGGAAACUAUGCGAGAAAUCCGUCAGUAUUACAUUCGCGUCGUGAACAAUGGCGUUGACGCGCCGCGUCAAUAUUUGCUCCGAUACUCCGGGGAUCAAUUGCAAUCUCUUCCUCUCUGCUCUCGUUUGCCUAAACGAGAUUAAGCUAUUUUCCACGCGUGGACCUCCUCGUCAGUCAGGUGCCGCGACUGCGACGCGAAGAUAUCUAAAUCCCGCCUCGUUCUAUUCUUAAUAGAGGUGCCGCCGUGAUUCUCUCUCCCUCUCUAUCUCUCUCUUUCUCUCUGUCGCUCUCUUUCUCUCUCGCUUGUCUCGCUCGAUCGGCCGUUCGGCCACGACAGGGAAUUCAGAGUUCUUUAUGACGCCCCGGAGACUGGCUCUUUAUAGGACACCGUGCACGAUGCGUCAGUCUGCGCACGUUUCCGUCACAUCUCUCGAUAACAGAAUUAUUUAAUUUUGAUAGAAUAUCGAUACUUUUACUAUUAUAGUUCAGGGGAGCGGCUUCUUCGGUCAGCAAUUAAAUGGCAUCUCGCGGACGCAUCGCGAUGUGAUUCAUCGGCGUGAACAGAUGAGACGUGAAAUCGUAAUUACGCGUUAUUUUUGUGCUCGCAUCGGCCCUUGGACGCGUAAAAUAUUCAAGGGCCAAUCGCGAAUCGCGGAGCUAUCGAUCAAUUUACGUUCCACCGCGAAACCAUCCCAUGCACGUCGGCUAUUGAUCAAGCUGCUCAUCGGGCCAGGGAUAUUUAAUGGUACAUUCGCAGAUAUUUCCCAUUAUCGACGAACGCAUUAGCGGGUAAUUUCACACAUUCGAUAAUCGCCAUGACAGCGUGGCAUUCGUCUCUUUAAAAUUCCUAAAUUGAUAUACAAUUUGCAAACUAAACGAGGAAUUAAGCAUUCAUGCAAAAAUGACGGAACACCCUGCGUGACGAAUUAUGCUUCAUUGAUAUGUAAAUUUUCGCCGCUGCAUUAAAUGAUUACGAGUACCUUGGCGCUGUCGACCACCGUAUUCCAGUCACGUGCACUUCCUGAACUGGUAAGAUAAACUCGGCGAAUCAAAAAGUUCGGUAGCAAAAUUACGUGCCGCUGUGUGAGGCGACCCCUUUAAUCCUCUCUUAAUUAAAGGGGUGGCCAGAGCAGCGACGGUGUAACUCGCUUAUAUCGUUUCUCGAUUCCAGCGGAAAAGGAAAGUAAUCCCGUUCGUUGUUAUUCGCCUCCAAUGAUCAGCUUACUUUCGGUCCAAUUAUCGAAGCACGCGAUGAAGAUGAGAACGAAAGUAAAAGCGCGUGAAAAAAGUGAGAAUCAAGCAGAUUUAUUUCUGCAUAAUUUAUGUGCGAUAUACUAAAUGAUAUAGUAAAACAUGUAGAAACUGUCUCAACGAUAUUAAUCAAUAUAAGUACAUUGGAAAUCAUGAAAAUUAGAGACACUGAAUAAAAUUACGGAAUUACAAAAAAA